GAUGAACGCUGGCGGCAUGCUUAACACAUGCAAGUCAAGCGGAAUUUGGGGUAUUAACUUAGGUUUGGGUGGCGGACGGGUGAGUAACGAGUAAAGAAAUUGCCUCACAGCUAGGGAGAGCAUAUGGAAACGAAUGCUAAUAACUACUAUUAUGAUAAUAGGGCAUCCUAUAUUUAUGAUAAAAAUAAGCGCUGUGGGUGAGCGUAGCGUUACAUUAGCUAGUUGGAGAGGUAGCAAAUCACCAAGGCGAUGAUGGGUAGCCGGCCUGGGAGGGUGAUCGGCCACAAGGUGACUGAGACACGGCCCUUACUCAUACGUGAGGCAUCAGUGAGGAAUAGAGGACAAUGGACCGAGAGUCUGAUGCAGCAAUUCUGUGUGCACGAUGAAGUUUUUCGGAAUGUAAAUUUCUUUCAGUUGGGGAGAAACAAAUGACGGUACCAACAGAAGAAGUGACGGCUAAAUACGUG
rnacentral:rRNA from 1 species